CCUGAUUUCUGCGGCCGUAGCAGGAUAUCGAGCAGAAAAUCUACUCGAAUGAGUUUUUGUGUGGAGAAGGAGCGGGAGACGUAGAGGAGAGGGGCAUUCGGCUCCUUCGUUCUUUCGUUUCCGUCCCGAUCCAGAGAGCGAGCGAGAGAUAGAGAGCAGUAGAGAGCGAGAGAUCCAGAGAGCGAAAGGCCUAGUCCAAGCAGAACUCCUUUCCGCGCUCAGGGCUCAUUCGAGCGACUGUCUCCCGUGUCCCAUGACUACCUCACGAGCAGGCAUCCCUCCCGCGUGCGGGAGUCCCUUCCAGCUCCUCUCCCGCGUGCGACAGUUCCGUCCGAGCUCAUCCAGGGCCUCGGCCAGACCUACCAGGAGGUUCGACUCUUUCUUUCGCCGGACCUGUGCGACCCGACCACCUCGGCUCCGUCUCGACCGACGCAAGGAAGGCUUUACAUUUGCUGCAGUGGCUUCUCCUCCUUUCUCUUCCAACUCCGGCGACCUCUUGACGACGAAAUCAGCUUCGGGAGACUGUUAAACAGCAAAAUCUGCUGUUUGGAAUGUGUAGACAGCAGCCACGCAGCUUCCGGGAGCCUUCUAACAGUGAAAACGUCUUUCCAGAGUGCUUUGGACAGCAAAUCCACCUCUCGGAGCGGCUUGGACAGCGACUUUGGAGCAUGGACAGUGAGCCGGAACUUGGAUAGGAGCGCUAGAACAACUCGGGAGAGGCGCUGCUUAAACCCCCUAAAAGGCAUGACCAAUAGGGUAGAAGUAUGGGCCUAGCACUUAGCACUCUAAGUGCUAGGCCAAUUUUGGGAAUAUAAUAUGAUUAUCAUAUAAAUUGCUGUUUAACUCUGUCUUGCAGGUUUGAGUCUUUUUUUAUUUUUAUAUCAUGUAUUUGAUUAGAAGUAAGAUGUGAACUUGUGGGGGUUUGGAGCAAAAGAAGGGAGCAAAAUGAAAAAGAUGUACAUUUUGGGAGAUGAAGCCCAAAGAACUUUUGUAAAGCUUGAAGACCCCACAAGUAGAGUCUGUAAUUAAUUUAACUUAGUUGUAUAAUGACAGGCAACUCAGCUGCUAAACAUGUUUGUAAUAACUGGGACAUUAUUUAGAUUUCUGUCUUAAUUUAUAUAUAAGCAUGUAUUGAAGUGUUUA